UACGUAGGGUGCGAGCGUUGUCCGGAAUUACUGGGCGUAAAGGGCGCGUAGGUGGCCUUCUAAGUUGAACGUGAAAUCCCUGGGCUCAACCCAGGAACUGCGUCCAAGACUGGGAGGCUUGAAUCCGGGAGAGGGAUGCGGAAUUCCAGGUGUAGCGGUGAAAUGCGUAGAUAUCUGGAGGAACACCGGUGGCGAAGGCGGCAUCCUGGACCGGUAUUGACACUGAGGCGCGAAAGCCAGGGGAGCAAACGGG
rnacentral:rRNA from 1 species